rnacentral:rRNA from 1 species
UACGUAGGGUCCGAGCGUUGUCCGGAAUCACUGGGCGUAAAGGGCGCGUAGGCGGCGUUUUAAGUCGGGGGUGAAAGCCUGUGGCUCAACCACAGAAUGGCCUUCGAUACUGGGACGCUUGAGUAUGGUAGAGGUUGGUGGAACUGCGAGUGUAGAGGUGAAAUUCGUAGAUAUUCGCAAGAACACCGGUGGCGAAGGCGGCCAACUGGACCAUUACUGACGCUGAGGCGCGAAAGCGUGGGGAGCAAACAGG